CACCCCUCAAGCGUAGCUUGGUAUUGGGCUCUCGCCCCCGCGGCAUGCCCGAAAAGCAGGGGCGGUCCGGUGCGACUUUAAGCGUAGUAAAUUUCUCC
rnacentral:misc_RNA from 1 species